rnacentral:rRNA from 1 species
CCUACGGGUGACAGCAGUGGGGAAUAUUGCACAAUGGGGGAAACCCUGAUGCAGCGACGCCGCGUGAGUGAAGAAGUACCUCGGUAUGUAAAGCUCUAUCAGCAGGGAAGAAAAUGACGGUACCUGACUAAGAAGCCCCGGCUAAAUACGUGCCAGCAGCCGUGGUUAUAUGUAGGGGGCAAGCGUUAUCCGGAUUUACCGGGUGUAAAGGGAGCGUAGGUGGCAUGGUAAGCCAGAAGUGAAAACCCAGGGCUCAACUCUGUGGAUUGCUUUUGGAACUAUCAAGCUAGAGUGCUGGAGGGGUAGGCGGAAUGACUAGUGUAGCGGUGAAAUGCGUAGAUAUUAGGAAGAACACCGAUGGCGAAGGCGACUUACUGGACAGAAACUGACGCUGAGGCUCGAAAGCGUGGGGAGCAAACAGGAUUAGAUACCCGAGUAGUC